AAUCAACGCUGGCGGCGUGCCUCAGACAUGCAAGUCGAACGAUUAAACUUUCCUUCGGGGAAGAUAUAAAGUGGCGCACGGGUGAGUAACACGUAGGUAAUCUACCUUUGAGUGGGGAAUAACUUAGGGAAACUUAAGCUAAUACCGCAUAAUGCAGCGGCAUCGCAAGAUGACAGUUGUUAAAGGAGCAAUCCGCUUAAAGAGGAGCCUGCGGCAGAUUAGCUAGUUGGAAGGUAACGGCUUACCAAGGCAACGAUCUGUAACCGACCUGAGGGGGUGGUCGGUCACACUGACACUGAAUAACGGGUCAGACUCCUACGGGAGGCAGCAGUCGGGAAUUUUGGGCAAUGGGCGAAAGCCUGACCCAGCAACGCCGCGUGAAGGAUGAAGUU
rnacentral:rRNA from 1 species